rnacentral:rRNA from 1 species
AUUGAACGCUGGCGGCAGGCCUAACACAUGCAAGUCGAGCGAGGUAGCAAUACCUAGCGGCGGACGGGUGAGUAACGCGUGGGAACGUACCCUUUGGUUCGGAAUAGCCCCGGGAAACUGGGAGUAAUACCGGAUACGGUCGAGAGACGAAAGAUUUAUCGCCAAAGGAGCGGCCCGCGUCAGAUUAGGUAGUUGGUGGGGUAAAGGCCUACCAAGCCUACGAUCUGUAGCUGGUCUGAGAGGAUGAUCAGCCACACUGGGACUGAGACACGGCCCAGACUCCUACGGGAGGCAGCAGUGGGGAAUCUUGGACAAUGGGCGCAAGCCUGAUCCAGCCAUGCCGCGUGGAUGAUGAAGGCCUUAGGGUUGUAAAAUCCUUUCAACGGGGACGAUAAUGACGGUACCCGUAGAAGAAGCCCCGGCUAACUUCGUG